UACGGAGGAUCCAAGCGUUAUCCGGAAUCAUUGGGUUUAAAGGGUCCGUAGGCGGCUUAGUAAGUCAGUGGUGAAAGCCCAUCGCUCAACGGUGGAACGGCCAUUGAUACUGCUAGACUUGAAUUAUUAGGAAGUAACUAGAAUAUGUAGUGUAGCGGUGAAAUGCUUAGAGAUUACAUGGAAUACCAAUUGCGAAGGCAGGUUACUACUAAUGGAUUGACGCUGAUGGACGAAAGCGUGGGUAGCGAACAGG
rnacentral:rRNA from 1 species